rnacentral:rRNA from 1 species
GACGAACGCUGGCGGCGUGCCUAAUACAUGCAAGUCGAGCGCAGGAAAUCAUCUGAACCCUUCGGGGGGACGUUGAUGGAAUGAGCGGCGGACGGGUGAGUAACACGUAAAGAACCUGCCCUCAGGUCUGGGAUAACCACGAGAAAUCGGGGCUAAUACCGGAUGGGUCAUCGGACCGCAUGGUCCGAGGAUGAAAGGCGCUUCGGCGUCGCCUGGGGAUGGCUUUGCGGUGCAUUAGCUAGUUGGUGGGGUAAUGGCCCACCAAGGCGACGAUGCAUAGCCGACCGGAGAGGGUGAUCGGCCACACUGGGACUGAGACACGGCCCAGACUCCUACGGGAGGCAGCAGUAGGGAAUCUUCCACAAUGGACGAAAGUCUGAUGGAGCAACGCCGCGUGAACGAUGAAGGCCUUCGGGUCGUAAAGUUCUGUUGUAAGGGAAGAACAAGUGCCGCAGGCAAUGGCGGCACCUUGACGGUACCUUGCGAGAAAGCCACGGCUAACUACGUACCAGCCGCCGCAGUAA